GUAGUUUCAUGUCCCAAUCGCAACGCCAUUAAAAAAACCGGCAUCAACGAAGCCGCCACUUUCUUCUUACGGUAAAUAGAUUGGUCUGUGGUCUUGAGAGAUGUCUAUGGCUUCACCAUUCCAUUAAAUGUAUGCAGAAACAGAACAACAAUCAUGAGCAAACAAACAAACCUACACAUAAAAUCGUAUCUUGGUGAUUACGAA
rnacentral:lncRNA from 1 species